CCCUCGUUUGCGUCAGGUCGGACGUCGGAGAGAAACGUCAAAAAUCAUCAAAAUAAACAAAUCGGAUUUUGGUGGCUGGUGAGUAAAAGUUGCAGGUGCUUGGAGUUUUUAUGCUGGUUUGCCGGAGUUUUUCUACAGGCACGGAAGAUUGUGGAAUUUCGGAAAUUGUGGAAGGUCGUUUGAUGUCAUAGCCGCUCUUUUCUAGAACUGCAUAAGGUGCGGAGCUGGUACGUUUAAGAGGAGAUCAUUCACUAGAGGUACCGACGGGUCACCUUGGCCUCGGAGUAACCGUUGUUGGCCUUCAGGAGCUCCUCAUUAAACGUUUUCUGGUCCACAUUGCGCUUCUCCGCCUUCUCGACGAUGCUGUCCUUCUCGGAGCGGGAGUAUGCUAUCAAGUCUCGUCGCACGGGACAGUUGUCGAGGGACAGA